CUUCGAGUGCUGCCUGCCAUUAAAUGUCAGUUUAUUCCGGAAAAGCAUUUAAUUCAAUUCGAUCAAAUUUUCAUAAAUAUUUUCUGCUAAAGUGUUGUGUGUGUGGACAGUAACUGUUAUGUUAAUUAUUGCGUCAAGAUUUGUUAAAAGCAAAUGUAUGCAACCGAGCGACAAUUUCCUAUUUACUCCAUAUAAUUGACGCAUCAAGGAUGCAAAUUAUUUAGCCCGUCUGAACAAUACGUAUUCUGGAGUCUAACGAAUCGACCCAAUAAUUUAGAAAACGGUGUUCAACACAUUUGAGGCCUCGGAACAGGUUCGCCGAGUGAAGUCCAAUGUAUCCAUGAUUACGAUUGCGCUUAUUGUCUGGAGUGAGCAAACGUGGAACGGGGACAGUACAUAAACUGUUGUAUUUAUGAUGCUGCGGAGGUGAAUAUGUUCUCUGGCAAUUACAGAAACAUGUCGAUUUAAAAUUCCCAGUUAAUUCCAUAUAAAACAAGAGGAUGUUGGCAAUUUUGGAAUAAGUCAAAGGAAAACAGGAAAAAGGACCACAAAAUGAAAAGGAUAUAAAACUUUUUGGGCAACCUACCCCAACAGUAACCAGAUGUGGGGCUUUUAAUCGCCUACACGCUUAAGUCGCUACACGUGUGUGCGUACAAAUGGCUACCCAGACUGCUGACGCUGCUAAAUUGGUUUGGCACAGCAAGGAUUCCGUUUUAUUUCAAGGGCAUUCGAAGUAGCCAUGGUUUGUCAUAUGUACGACGUACGUAAGCGAAAAAAAUGGGCUAUUCAUAUAAAUAGAACUUUUUACGGUCAAAAACUUGUCAAACCUAAAAUCAAUUUAUGCAUGUAUGUCAGGAUAUACAUAAAUAUAUUAAUAAUUUCGGAUGUAUGUAUAUUUAAGAUAAAUGUUUGUGCUGAGUGAAAUAUGUCGCGCAUGUAUAACUCUUUAUACGCAUAUAAUUGGCACAUUAAAAUUGUUUAACGGUAAAUAUAGAUCAAAGUUGACUGCGGCAAAGCACAACGCCUUGAUCAAAUGGCAUUACAGCGUAGAUUAAAUACCACAAUAAGAAUUAAAAUACAGCCAUAAAGGAACGCAAGAACAAGUAAAAUAUUUUACUCACUUUUUGUUUGUGAAACAUUUACCGUUAUAUACGAUUGUAGAUCAAGAGGUCAGACAUAAAAUGUUGUUUGUUUUUAAUGGAAAUGUAAAUGGACACAAAUAAAGUGUGUCAGAUGUGUUAAAUAAGCAAGCAGACAAGCGCCUCAAUACAUACUUACAAACACAAAUAAUUCAAAUAAAAAGGUGUCCGCAAACAAACACAUAAUCUUUGUGCUGGUUGCUGUAUGAAAAAAUGGUAUGAAAUCAUAUGGAAAAACAACUGACUCGCACUGGCUACAACUCAACAUUAGCAUACAAAUGGCCAAAAGACCGCUUUAAUGGAUUCCGUCUCCAUUUAAUAGCCGCUAAGGCAGAAGGCGACAAGCACCGAAAACCAAAACUCGUGUCGACCAAUUCUCCCACUUUGGGUUUGAACCUUUUUUGCAGGCUGCCGAAAAACGAAUGCUUUUUGUUUAAUGAAUUACGUACAUGGCUGUGGCUGCGGUUGUGGUGUAGAGGGAGAUAAUGUCUCAGGCGAUUCAGCUUCUGCUCACAUACAUACAUAUAUUCUUACAUUGCACGCAUAUAUAUAUAUAUAUGUAUGUAUGUGUCUGUACAUGUGUAGGCGAUGGUAUACGAAACCGGAGCAUAGCAACUGUUGGGAAAGUUCUGCACUGUUGUUGGGUGGCCAUGUGCAUAUUUGGUAACUAACAGGCAGGCUUAAAGUAACAUUUAAAAAGAAAUGAAUAAUGAUAAUGCGCGGCCUUGAGUUUUCUACCCAUUGGGUACUGUAUAAUCUUGGUUUAUUAAAAAAAUAAUUCAAAAAUGAAAGCAUUUUAAUUCUGUCUUCUAUGUGAAAAAUAUGUUAUGUAAUGUUAUAAACGGAAACUGUCGGAUAAACAUUUCGGUUCGUAAAAUUGUUUGUUCCCAAAAAGCUGUACAAAAUUUAAAGAUUCAAGGGAGUUAAAAAUCUCACGAGCAAUAAAUUUUAAGAAAACCAUGUAAAACAUUCAUGAAAUGUUGUAAUCAGCAAAAUUUACAUUUCAUAUCCAAAACAGCUACAAUGGUUUCACGCGUAAAUUAACGGCAACGUUGUGCCAUGUAACGUGUGCAAUAAGUUUGCCGAACAGAGCACAGGUUUUGGAAAGACAUCUUCACCAGUUGUCGAAACGAUGUUUCGCUAUAAGUGGGGUACAUACAACUAAAAAACAACCUGUAUAUUCUGUCCGAGAAAAUGUCAUGAAUUUUGUAUAAAAUUAAUUCCAAUAUACAUAGUAUGUAUUUCGUCUCGAUAUAUCGACUGACGUCUUCCGCAUUGAAUAAUUGUUUAUUUUUUUUAG